AAUGAGUGAGGUACAGAUUUAUAAGGGUUGAAACCCAACAGAUAUUUAAUGAUUCUAGAACAAAACUCAUUAAUAAACCGGUUGAGAAAUCAAAACAACCAAGCUUUAUACACGGAAAAUUUCUUGGACCGGAUCCGAUACCCGACAUACCUAAAUCGCAUGCUGGACACGACAUGACCCUCCGACCAUCGUCGGUUGUCGGCAAACCGAAUCGUCAAAUGCCAGAUCGCUAUUCACCACCA
rnacentral:lncRNA from 1 species